GCGUGUUUUUUUAGUUUUUUAAACUAUAUUUAUUUUUUAGUUUUUAGUUUCAUAUUAUGAUAGUAAUUACUAUCAAUAUCAUGGUUGUUACGGGUAACGAAAAAUCAGGGUUCGAUUCCGGGAAGGGAGUCCGAGAAACGGCUACCACAUCCAAAGAAAGCAGUAGGCGCGUAAAUUACUCACUCCCGGAACAUGCAGGUAGUGACGAAAAAUGACGAUACGGAAAUCAUCCCUCGUAAUCGGAAUGAAUACUUUAUAUCUCUUAAUUAAAAUAAAGCGUGUUAAUAAAUAAAUUUUAAUAGUAAUUAGAAUAUAUAUAUAUACAAGUAAAGCGACUUAAGUACGUAAACGUAUCAUGCACUAGGUAUAACCGUAUUUUGUGGGCGGGCGGGUCGGACUAACGUUAUACCUGAGGUAUAAACGGUGGUAGGAAUAUAUAAAUAUAUAUACGUAAGGCGCAUUAGACGCGGGCGGUAUUGGUCAGUCAAAAUAAAAAUUUGUUUAUAUAUAUAUAAAAUUGAUGACAAGCACGCGUGUACGGGUACGAUAACUAAAAAUAAAUUUUUAUAGGAAUAGUGUGCCGUCGUGUGGUGAGCGAGGCGUGGGGAGGGGUGAAUGCGUUAUGACAGUCUAGUCUAGACGACGGAAUAUGCGAUAACGCGUGGCGUUUGGAGAGUUACAAACAUACAUACAUACAUACAUACAGGUGAAACUAAUAUAAGCGUGUUAAAAAAAUAGAAGUUAAAAAAAAUGAAAGACUUUCUGAUGACUUAUUUUUUAUGAUUAAUUGGUCUCUAAAGUCGAUAAUCAUAGAGCUCUUAGUGGAUAUGAUACACCGGACAAACUAUUUGAAUAAUGCUUUAAUCAAAAUUUAUUUUUCAGUGGUAAUAUUUAAGAUAAGUACAACUUACAUUAACAUGAAAAAUGAAAAAUUAUACGAAAUCUUGAUUUCUAGGAGUUAUCGGGAAUUAAAGCCAAAAGUCAUACAACUUUGGUAUAUUGAUGAGAAUAAAGGAUAUCCCGGAUAGAUACAAAAGUUGUGCUGCAGAAUUAAUAAAUUAUCUCAAAGAUAUCCAAAAUAUCUUCUAUAUAAAGAAAAUAUCCAUUCACCCUGGCCAUCUUUAUGAAAAUGAAUAUGUGUUUAAUUGUUAAAGAUCUUAAUUAUCUAUUUCAAAUAAACUAAUAAAGCCUGGAAUGUAAUUUAUUAUGUUCAAUUUCUGUAUUACUAUAAUUCUAGAUUCUCUAGCUUUCUAUCAUAAUAUCUAAGCCUCCA